rnacentral:lncRNA from 1 species
UUCCACUGGAGGGUAGGCAAUGGAUUAUCAACGUCACUCUGGUUUGACAAUUGGCAUCCCAGGGGUCCUUUGAAUUUAUAUUUCACGGAUCCCCUCAUCUACAGCUCCGGUCUCUCUAGGCAGGCUUUGGUUGCCGAUCUCUUCUCUGAGGAUGGACAAGCUAUCAGAUCAGAGAUUGAGUCUUGGGGUUCGCCGCUUCCUUCCUUGUCUGGAACCCAAGAUCGGUUCUGUUGGAGGGAGGACUCGACGGGCUUGUUCUCGGUGGCCUCGGCUUGGGAGGCCUUAAGGAGGAAGAAGGCUAGAGUCAAUUGGCAUUGUUUCAUUUGGAGUAAUGCCAUCCUGCCUCGCUACCAACUAAACCUGUGGCUCAUCACCAAGAGGAGGUUACCUACUCAGUCUCUUCUCAUGUCUUAUGGUAGGAUUGAUGCUGCUUCCUGCCCUUUUUGCAACGAGGUGCCUGAUUCAAUCAAUCAUCUCUUUUUUGGUUGUCGCAUUACCUCGAGUAUUGCCUUUUUCUGGGCUACUAGAUGCAAUCUCCUUGGACCAACAGGACUUGGGAGGAGACUCUCAGUUGGGCCAUUACCUUGCUCAACGGCAAGGAGUUUUAUAAGCGUGUUGCCCGGUUCUCCUUUGGGGCGCUGUGUCACAUCAUCUGGAGAAACAGGAACAAUAUUCUGUUCAGGGGGGAGCCGUUAUCUAUUUCGGCCAUGAAGAAGCAUCUCCUCAAGGUUGUUAAGGAUAAGGCCCUUACCUUUGAGAAUGUUGAGGACUCUCCCAGGAACAGGCGGAUGCAACGCUCGUGGGAUGUGGACCCCAUUAUUUUCGCUUCCUCUGAUUAUAGUCUGACUUAGGCUUUUCGGUGGUUGUUUAGGUGUUUUUGCCAGGCUUGUUUUGCCGUUGGCUUGCUGUAGGUCGUUUUGUUUGCUUGUCCGCGGCUUCCUUUCACUCUUAAUGAGCGUGUUCAUUUUGAGUGUAAGCUUUUGGAGCCGUGUUGUUUGUACAGUUUGACCCCUAUUAAUAUAUUG